GGCCUAACACAUGCAAGUCGAACGGGGUGUAGCAAUACAUCUAGUGGCGCACGGGUGCGUAACACGUAACUAAUCUGCCUACAACUGGGGGAUAGCCCGCCGAAAGGCGGAUUAAUACCGCAUAACAUCACUACCCGGCAUCGGGUGUUGAUUAAAGAUUUAUUGGUUGUAGAUGAGGUUGCGGGUCAUUAGCUAGUUGGGUGGGUAACGGCUGCCCAAGGCGACGAUGACUAGGGGAGCUGAGAGGCUGGUCCCCCACACGGGCACUGAGACACGGCCCAGACUCCUACGGGAGGCAGCAGUGGGGAAUAUUGGACAAUGGGCGAAAGCCUGAUCCAGCCAUGCCGCGUGAGUGAUGAAGGCCUUCGGGUCGUAAAGCUCUGUGGGGAGGGACGAAAAGACGAGGUGUUAAUACCGCCUCGGGUUGACGGUACUUCCUUAGCAAGCACCGGCUAACUCCGUGCCAGCAGCCGCGGUAAU
rnacentral:rRNA from 1 species